rnacentral:rRNA from 1 species
GAUGAACGCUGGCGGCGUGCCUAAUACAUGCAAGUCGAGCGAACAGAUGAGGAGCUUGCUCCUCUGACGUUAGCGGCGGACGGGUGAGUAACACGUGGGUAACCUACCUAUCAGACUGGGAUAACUUCGGGAAACCGGAGCUAAUACCGGAUAAUAUAUUGAACCGCAUGGUUCAAUAGUGAAAGACGGUUUUGCUGUCACUUAUAGAUGGAUCCGCGCCGCAUUAGCUAGUUGGUAAGGUAACGGCUUACCAAGGCAACGAUGCGUAGCCGACCUGAGAGGGUGAUCGGCCACACUGGAACUGAGACACGGUCCAGACUCCUACGGGAGGCAGCAGUAGGGAAUCUUCCGCAAUGGGCGAAAGCCUGACGGAGCAACGCCGCGUGAGUGAUGAAGGUCUUCGGAUCGUAAAACUCUGUUAUUAGGGAAGAACAAAUGUGUAAGUAACUAUGCACGUCUUGACGGUACCUAAUCAGAAAGCCACGGCUAACUACGUG